GGGGGUGAAAAGGCAAAAGGCGGGUGAAAGGCUGCCUCCCGAGGCUCUCCUUGCUUGGAAUUCUGCCCACUCUGCGGAGUUAGGAGUCACGACCUCCAGCACAGGGCUGUCGUCACGAUCUGUGCCAGUUGCGCGACAGAGUCUGCCCGGAGAUCAGCGUGAGGCCAGAUGGGCCUAGCGCUCAGGAAGAGCUGGAAGAGCUGGAGCAAGCUCGCGUUGGGACUGACGCCCAGUGUACAUUGUUUCAAUCUCGGUCGGACUUUACAGCCCUGGAUCUGUCACUGACUUGGUGUUUAGCUUUCAGCGAGUCCCUACCCUCUCCCUGCCUCACUUUGUUCGGCAGUAGAGUGGAAGGUGGAACUCAGCUGUCUGCAAAAUCUUGCAGCACUUUCUUGCGUUCUCAUAUCCACUAAUGUUCUCUGCCCAGAUUUUACCCUUUGUCUGCCCCCUCUGGAGCAAGGCACUGGGUAAGUUAGGCUAGGAAGUUUUCUUUCUCUUUCAAAAACAAUUGAAAAGCCUUUAAAUACUCCUGACUGCCCUGGAAACCACAUUCGAACCAUUAAUUGAAUGUCAACUC
rnacentral:sRNA from 1 species